rnacentral:lncRNA from 1 species
GUGAAUGCACCAAUUUGUAAGUCGCUCUGGAUACAUCAAAUACUUGAUGUAUUUUUAUUUUCUAUUUUACCUUUAUUUAACUAGGCAAAUCAGUUAAGAACAAAUUCUUAUUUUCAAUGACGGCCUAGGAACAGUGGGUUAACUGCCUUGUUCAGGUAUUAUCCUCACGACCCAAUAACAAUGGUUUGCCAAUAAUGUUUUCUUCAGUUUCAGGUGGUGGAAUUACAGGUAAGUCUAAAGCAGUAUCACUGUCCCUCAAUUAGGGUUGCAAAGCGAGGGUAUAUUACUGGACAUUUUGAAGUUUACAGGUAAACUACAAGAAUUUGGGUAACUUUCAAGGAUUUUAUAUAAUUUAUCACAAGACAUCUAGUGGCCCUUCCGGGUACUUCAGAUGAUCAUAGGUGUCAGUAAUUAUCUCUGGCCCUCUGUGCCCUUAAAACAUUUUAAAUAAUCAAAUAAGAUUAACAUUAUCCUAAAUAUAAACCAUUAACUUAAUGAAUACCAUUGGUGUUUAAUAUGUUCAGCAUGAAUAUCCUUUAUAUAUUUUUUUACACACUUAUUUUUGUUACUAGGUGAAUGUCCUUUUUGUAAAUGUUUUGGCGCCAAACUGUUGGCAGCUGUGAAAAAAGACAGUUGUUGGGACAGUUGCAGAGUUAAUUGAAAAUAAUACCAUUGCUGAUUAGAUACUUUUUUUUAGGCUAUUUUGUCUUGAAACAUAUGCUCUCUCUCUCUCUAGCUCCUUCUCUUUCUCUCUCUCUCUCUAUAUAUAUAUAUAUAGUAUUCAUUAUUGGCGAGAUUCCCAAAGGCUGGAGCGUCGGCCUUCUCGCCCACUCCAAUUUCGCUCCAGUAGUGCUAACUUAAUGAGCUCAGGGCAUGCCCGGCCCAGCAUGCAUUUGAUGUCUACUUGUGUGCUGCUAUAGCCCCUUGCUUUAGUUACUGUCAUGGUGUUCGCUAACUAUUUUCAUAAAGAAACUAAUAAAACACAGGUGCUAAAUCAAGAAAAGCUGUCAUCAAGGCAAUGGGUGGCUACUUUGAAGAAUCUAAAAAAUAAAAUAUAUUUUGAUUUGUUUAACACUUUUUUGGUUACUACAUGAUUCCAUAUGUGUUAUUUCAUAGUGUGGAUGUCUUCACUAUUAUUCUACAGAACAUAGGAAAAAAAUUGGAAAAAACAUUGAAUGAGUAGGUGUGUCCAAACUGUUGACUGGUAUUCAUUAUUAGACCUGUGUCCAUAUUUUCUAUGAAUUUCUAGUGGAUGUUUUAAGAGAACAAUGCCUAUUUAAUGAAAAGAGCAUCUAACCAACAAUGGCAUUAUUUUCAUUUGUAAUAAGGAAUACUAUAUAUCAAUACAAUUUCUGAAAGUUAUUCAAGUAUAAAUCAUCAAAGUUACCAUAGAUUGCCAUAAAUUACCUAUUAAUUACCCAAAUUACUGAAUAUUCUGGUAACUUUGCUAAAUGACUAUUAGCUUUGCAACCCUACCCUCAAUGCACUUAUUUGUCCACUACCUGAAAAUGAACAGGAUGGUAUAAUGAUCAAAAUUACAAUGUUUCCAGGUCAGGAAGAAGACAAGAACAAUAGGAAUGCGGGUCAAGAUGCCAGUCGGUCCUCUACUAUCACCAUCUGUAUAUAAAUGAACUCACACUGACACAAAUUUACCUUGCACUGAAAAACACACACAGUCAGCAAAACAAACAGAACAUUUUAAAUAGACACAUUAUCCAGAUGGCAAGUUCCAAAUUAUGGAACUAGCAUCUCCUUCUCGUGGUUAUUGAAAGUUCAUAGACGUUAUCAUAGAAUUUACUACAUAAAACACACUACAGAGUAUAUUGAGUUUUACAGUAUGUUAUUUCUCUACUCAGGUGGUCACCAUGCUGGAGAUGAAGAACCGGAAACUCCUAAAUCAAAUAAGAAGAUGCUGUGGAUUCUUUUGCCAGUCUUGGGAGUUGUGGUGGCUGCUGUCAUCUUCAUUUUCAAAUUUAAAUGCAUGAAGGUCCACGAUCACACAGAGGCAAUUGAUAAUGGAACAGAAAAUGCCUCUUUCCAGAGCAGGUCGGACAGCACCAAAGAUGGUGUCAUGCUUCUCGGGGUGAAGUCCUCAGGUGCUGCUGCACGAUAAAAAGGAGGGCGUCCCAUUCUACAGUAUAUGACCAAUAGCUCUCACAACCCAAAAAAUGGUCAAGACCUUCAACUAUCUAAAAAUGCUGGACAAUCAAAUAUGGCGUAUAAGAAUCCCAAAAGCUAAGUGGGCACAUUCUUAUACUGUAUAGUGUGGAAAGAAGAUUGGUGUGGAGUAUUGUAGGAUAUGGGACUCUUAACUGAACAUGUGUCUGUUAAAAAAUGUUCACUAAGAUACUGUAUAUCAUUUCAAAAAUAUGUACUUCACUGUUUUUUGUAUUCUUAUUUUGAUGGUAAUUUAGCCAAGGAGGAACUGCGAUCUCAAUUUAAUCAAGACUAACAUCCAGACAUUUCAUUCAGGAAAACAAUGCAAGAUUUUGAAUGAAUAUAAAUAAAUUAACCCAAAAGCUCAUUGUCUGGGUGCAAGAGGAUUGUUUGUCUCAUCCCUGUAUUUAAGAUACUGGUUUUGAUUUUAUAUCACACAAACAUGUAUGAAAUCCAAAUGCAUUGAACCUGAAUUCAGCACACAAUUCCUUGGUUCAAACCAGUUAGUGACCAGUACACAUUAUUAAGUGUUUGUAUGCUUUAAAUCUGUUGUAAUAAAUGAUUUAGCUUUCAGUGUAAAUGCCAGGAUUGUAAAGAUUAGCUAUAUUGCCGGUAUGUUUCCUGCUUUUCAACCAGUUUUUGUGUAUAUUAGAGCAAACAAUAAGACUUCCCACUGGUCAAAGAUGAUUUGAAUUUCUCAAAUAAAGAAGAACGUUAUUUGACUGAUCGGCAUUGGUUGAAUAUUUGUUGUUUUGCACCUGUACAUGCUCACGAAAGUUUAUGUUGAUUUUGGAUGUUGAUUUCACCUGGCUACACACCAUAUCUUUAAUGUGCUGAAUUAUGUAACGCAACCAUACAAAAGGCUAUGGAGAAUAAACUAUUCAGUAUAGGAGAGCUGUAGCUCCGCCCACCGGUUAUGUGGAGUAGAGCAUGCUGGGCGAUCUCCAAGUGAUUAGUUCAAGCCAUCUAUUGUUUUUUCCUUUAGUUAGCAUUAUUUGUUUUACCAAGGCCAGUGUGUGUCCUUCAGAAAUAUGAGUACAUAUUUCUUACUCUUCAUGUGUUAAUGUUGUG